UGGUUGGACGAGAUAUAAUCUGUUUCAUUUAAAAUUAAUUAGAAUUUUAUUUUUUAGUUAAAAAGCUAAAAUAUAUUCAAAAGACGAGAAGACCCUAUAAAUCUUGAUUAUUUAGUAAUUUUUAAUUUAUUUUGAUUUUUUUUAUUAUAAAUUUAUUAAUUAAUUUUAUUGGGGUGAUAUUAAAAUUUAAAUAACUUUUAAUAAUUUUUGUCAUUUAUUUAUGAUUAAGUGAUCCGUUAUUAGUGAUUAAAAAAUUAAGUUACUUUAGGGAUAACAGCGUAAUUUUUUUGGAGAGUUCUUAUCGAUAAAAAAGUUUGCGACCUCGAUGUUGGAUUAAGAUUCAUAUUUAAAUGCAGAAGUUUAAAUAUAAAGUCUGUUCGACUUUUUAUUCUUACAUGAUCUGAGUUCAAACCGGUGUAAGCCAGGUUGGUUUCUAUCUUUGAUUUAAUAAAAUAUUUUAGUACGAAAGGAAUUAAUAUUUAUUUUUAAAAAAUUAAUUUAUGAAUAAAUUUAAUUACUAU
rnacentral:rRNA from 1 species